CGGCUGGGGGCCGGAUAAGACCCGCGGGCCGUAGUUUGGGGACUCCUGAUCUAUCCACUACUCAGGAAGAGACAGGUAUUUGUGACAAAGACCAUAUGGCCCAGAAUGCUGAAAGUUUCCAGAAAAAGUUUCUUACUCGCACUUUCUUCCAGUGUCUCUUGAACUUUAAUGUCCAUACACACCACCUAGAGAACUAGUUACAAUUCAAAUUCUGUUUCAGUGGAUCUGGGCUGAGGCCUAAAAUUCUACACUUAAUAAGCACCAGGUGAUGCCAUGGCUGCUGGUCGACAGACCACACUUUGAGUAGUGAGGAUCAACUCCAGUGUGUCUCUACAUGUCGACCUGAACCAGCAGCAGCAGUACCUGGGGAUGUGUUAGGAAUGCAGAUUCACAGGCACACCUAGACCUGCUAAACUGAAAAUCUGAGUGGGGCUCAGAAAGCUGCAUUUUAUAGUAACAAGCUAUCGGCCAACACAGUGGCUCAUGCCUGUAAUUCCAGCACUUUGGGAGGCCGAGGCAAGUGGUGAGGUCAGGAGUUUGAGACCAGCCUGGCCAAUAUGGUGAAACACCAUCUCUACUAAAAUUAUUUAUUAAAUUAGCCAGUUUUCUCUACAGGUGUUGCAUGCCUGUAAUCCCAGCUACUCAAAGGCUAAGGUGGAAGAAUCGCUUGAACCCAGGAGGCGGAGGAUGCAGUGAGCCAAGAUCACACCACAGCACUCUAGCCUGGGAAAAAGAAUGAUACUCCAUCUCAAACAAUCAAUCAACCAACGAAAUAUAUUAAGCUAUCCAGGUGAUUCUGAUGCAGGCUUGAAUUUGAACACCAUCUCUCCUGCAGGUCCAGAAUCUGAGAGAUUUAAGGGGUCAUGGGCAUCAGUGGUCCAGGGAAGGAAGCAAAGCAAAUGGAGAAUGGCAUGUUGUGACAGACAGUACGGGGAAGCAACUACAGAGACAGCUCAGCAGCUCCUCCUCCUAUAG
rnacentral:lncRNA from 1 species